rnacentral:rRNA from 1 species
UACGUAGGAGGCAAGCGUUGUCCGGAAUUACUGGGUGUAAAGCGCGUGUAGGCGGCAGGCCAAGUCUGUGGUGAAAUCGCUCGGCUCAACUGGGCGGGGUCCAUGGAAACUGGUCAGCUGGAGGACGGUAGAGGUGAGUGGAAUUCCCGGUGUAGUGGUGAAAUGCGUAGAGAUCCCCAAGAACACCAGUUGCGAAGGCGGCUGACUGGACACAUAUUGACGCUGAGGCUCGAAAGCAUGGGGAGCAAACAGG